UGUGGCCGUGCUAUGCUUUAGGCCAAGAAAUGAAAUCAUUGGGUUUUUGCCCAAAGCCAAAUGCACCACAAAUAGGAGGGAACAGCGAGCGGCUGGGCAGCAGGCAGCUGGCAGAGAAAUGUGAUGAGCUGCCCGCAGAGCAGUGGCAGCACUACGAGAGGCCAGCCGGGCAGCAGCAGAGGGAGUAAUGAGCGGCCAGAAAGGCAGUGGCAGAAAGGAAUUCCACUUAAAUGCCCAAGGAAGCAGCCAUGCACCGGAAAAGGUCCUGCUCUGCCGUUGGAAUCUGCUGGCAUUGGAAGAGUGGAUGAAUCAGGCACUGUUGAAUCAUCCAGGGAUGAAGAAGAGGUUGUUAACUGUGCCAAGCCUGGCUCUCUUUUCUGAAGAGGGAACAUCCUAAUUAGAGGGAUCAACUUCAUCAAGGAUCAGAGGGAGGAUGAUCCAGGGCUGUGACUGGCUUUUUGUGGAAGACCCAGAGUGAGCAAAGCAGUACCCCUGAUUUGAGCUUCACAGGAAGCAACUGCACCUGCUGAAGAAAGACUGACUAAUGGCCAAGUUUGGUUGCAACUUCUUGUUCAUUGGCCACAUACGUGUGAUAACAGGUGACUGCUUCAUGCUAUUCCCUCUGUGGGCCACCUUCACUAUGAGAAGACACUGACCUGGAUUCUGGACUGAUUUUUAUUGGCCUGAGAUUAAUCAAAUUUAGACUUCUGCAGCUCCUGCCCUAAAUGCCAACUCCCAGGAUUUAAAGUGGUGAAAAAAAUCUCUCAUAUCCCACUUCCUGCAGCAGGCAUCCCAUUUGAAAGGACAUUGGAAAAAAGUACAGCUGGUUGCAUUAUAAAUGCAUUAUAGUUGAUUACACCACUGGCUAUCCUGAGGCAACCCCCCUCUGCACUCUCAAUGCAAAAACUAUUGCAGUAGAAUUGCUAAAAAUCCUUGCCAGAGUUGGGGCAUAGCAGGUGAUCAUGUGUCAAAGUACCAGUGGGACCAACUGGCGCCUAGAUUCAAAAAUUACGUUCCCAAACUGAAUUUCUUAGUACCCUAAUUUAUCUGUGAGAGAGGGAGACAAAAAGGAUGAUAAAGAAAAUAGCAGUGAAAGUGAGUUAUAUAUGUGCGGUUGUUAGUUUUGCUGAAUAAUACUAUAUAAAUAUUAACACAGCUUGCAAUUUUAGACUUGGUGGAGACCAGGUUGUGGAAACACCACACAGUAUAUUUUGUAAAUCUGAAAUUCUGCUCUCUAAUGAUCUUUAGCAUAAAAAGAUCAUUGUUCCUCCCACUUUGAUUUAAAUGACAAUAAAACCAGAGGCCAGUCUCCUAGAGGUAGCUUAAAAACAGUACAUUGCCUCUCUUUAAUCUAUUACACCGACAAGCUCUAAGGCUAUGUCUAUACUGCCCCCAUUUUGAGCAAAAAAUAUGCA